rnacentral:misc_RNA from 1 species
GAAAUGCGAUACGUAAUGUGAAUUGCAGAUUCCGUGAAUCAUCGAAUCUUUGAACGCAAAUUGUACUUUCCAGUAAUCUGGGAAGUAUGCUUGGUUGAGGGUCAUUAAAAUAACAUUCGUGAAUUUUUUCGCGGAUUUGAGUUUUCCAGUAUUCAUUAUAAUAAUAAUAAUAUAAUAAUAAAUGUUGGUGACUUUAAAAUUAUUUAUAACUUGGUACAAGUUGAAAACGUUCUAUAUGUGUGGUUCGCUGACAACUUGUCCAUCUCUAUAUACUAUGCGCGCACUUGGUUUUACACUCUGUGCGAACAUAUAUUUUUUUAUGACCUCAGCUCAAGCAAGAAUACCCGCUGAACUUAA